rnacentral:rRNA from 1 species
GCAUAUCAUAACCGGAGGAAAAGAAUCCAACGGGGAUUGCCCUAGUACGGCGAGUGAAGCGGCAACAGCUCAAAUUUGAAAUCUGGCCCUCUGGGCCCGAGUUGUAAUUUGUAGAGGGCGCUUUGGUGUUGGCCCCGGCCUAAGUUCCUUGGAACAGGACGUCACAGAGGGUGAGAACCCCGUACGUGGCCGGCGGCCUUCGCUGUGUAAAGCCCCUUCGACGAGUCGAGUUGUUUGGGAAUGCAGCUCUAAAUGGGAGGUAAAUUUCUUCUAAAGCUAAAUACUGGCCAGAGACCGAUAGCGCACAAGUAGAGUGAUCGAAAGAUGAAAAGCACUUUGGAAAGAGAGUCAAAAAGCACGUGAAAUUGUUGAAAGGGAAGCGCUUGCAGCCAGACUUGCCUGUAGUUGCUCACCUGGGCUCUUGCCCAGCGCACUCUUCUGCGGGCAGGCCAGCAUCAGUUCAAGCGGUCGGACAAAAGCCCUAGGAAUGUGGCUCCUUCCGGGGAGUGUUAUAGCCUAGGGCAUAAUGCGGCCAGCUUGGACUGAGGUCCGCGCAUUUGCUAGGAUGCUGGCGUAAUGGUUGUAAGCGGCCCGUCUUGAAACACGGACCAAGGAGUCUAACAUCUAUGCGAGUGUUUGGGUGUCAAGCCCGAGCGCGAAAUGAAAGUGAACGGAGGUGGGAACCCCCCCGGGGCGCACCAUCGACCGAUCCUGAUGUCUUCGGAUGGAUUUGAGUAAGAGCAUAGCUGUUGGGACCCGAAAGAUGGUGAACUAUGCCUGAAUAGGGUGAAGCCAGAGGAAACUCUGGUGGAGGCUCGCAGCGGUUCUGACGUGCAAAUCGAUCGUCAAAUUUGGGCAUAGGGGCGAAAGACUAAUCGAACUAUCUAGUAGCUGGAUCUGCGAG